rnacentral:rRNA from 1 species
CCUACGGGUGGCUGCAGUGGGGAAUAUUGGGCAAUGGGCGCAAGCCUGACCCAGCAACGCCGCGUGAAGGAAGAAGGCUUUCGGGUUGUACACUUCUUUUGUCAGGGACGAAGCAAGUGACGGUACCUGAAGAAUAAGCCACGGCUAACUACCUGCCAGCGGCCGCGGUAAUACGUAGGUGGCAAGCGUUAUCCGGAUUUACUGGGUCUAAAGGGCGUGUAGGCGGGACUGCAAGUAAGAUGUGAAAACCACGGGCUCAACCUGUGGCCUGCAUGUGAAACUGUAGUUCUUGAGUACUGGAGAGGCAGACGGAAUUCCUAGGGUAGCGGUGAAAUGCGUAGAUAGUAGGAGGAACACCAGUGGCGAAGGCGGUCUGCUGGACAGCAACUGACGCUGAGGCGCGAAAGCGUGGGGAGCAAACAGGAUUAGAUACCCCAGUAGUC